AUACUAAUCAACUAAAUGCUAAUAGAUAGAUAUUAAUUUAAGGACAGAUAAGACUUUAAUUUUUGUAAAUAUAUGAUAAGGUAAAAAUAAGUCAAUUAUUAGGUUUGAUUGAUAAGUAAUACAAGUCCAACAUUGACAAAUAAAACCAACAUGAUACUACUAUUGAAGACUCUAUAAGCAUUCUAUUAGAACCUUUGAAGAAUAAUCUUUCUCUAGAUUAUCUAAAUUAAUUACUUUUAUAACAUAACUCUUAAUUGUAAUAUCAACUAAAUAUAAAUAAGCUCUUUUCACUCUUUAAAGUGUGCAAACUUGGCCAAAUUUAGGAUUUCAAGUGACAAACCUACCAUCAAAUUUAUCAACUAAUAUCAAUGGUAGAAUAGUAAUUAGAAUUAAACUAUUAGAAAUUAAAAAAAUAAAAACAAAUAAAAGCAAAUCAAGGAAGAAUAAAUAGAAGGAACUUAUUUCUUGCAUUGAAAAAAUGUGACUUGUUAUACCUGCAACUGGAUAUAAAGUACUAUAUUUGUUUCCAUUAAUCUAUUUUUUUUUUAAAGAUAUGAGAAGAAACACUUAAGGAUUUGUUAGUUAUUACUAGGCUUCAAUUGUGGACAAUACAAUUGUACAUUACAACUAUGAACCAUCUCCAAUGAACCAACAACAACUAAUUUACAUCGCAAUGAAUACCACUAUUUGUCUAAGGACAUAAUUACUACAAUUAACCACUAUCGCAUCAUACAAAUUUCUAUGAUGCAACAAGCAACAAAAACCAAAAAAAACAUAAACAAAAUGAAAGAAGCUCCAUCAUGUGCAUAAUCUCUAAGACAUAAUUAACACCUUUGGAUUCUUGUUUCACCAAGGAUUGAGAUUAGGGAGAGUGUUGGUAUAAAUUCUUAGUUCACCAAAGGCUGAGAUUAGAGAGGGUGUUGGAAUAAUCUUAGCUCCUUGUAUUUAGGUCAAUACAUACAUAUCUAAUUUAAUAUACAUACAGUAUUAUGGUGUGUGCCAAUACUUAAACCAUGUAAGGACAAGGCCCUAUUAUCUCUUACGAGUUUUCUUCAAUGCAUCCAGUACCUUCAGAUUCAUCACUUAGCAGACGAAUUAUUUUUUUUUAAUUUGAACUUCUUUUGCCAUUCAAAUGGAUAAUUAACAGAGCCUUCAGCGCAUUGAAACUUAAUUGAGAGGGUGCAGACUUGCCAGACCCAUGACAUCCAAUAAACACUGUCACGCAAGUUGCUGCGGCAAGGUAGAAAUUGGGAUUGACCUUCUUCACGAAGAGCAUCGACCCGCAAAUCAGAUCCCUGGUCAGUGCAGUCUUAAAAUGCACCCUAAAACCCGCAAAACCCAUGCCGAACAAAAAAAGUCAGGGUCCUAGAAGAGACAGUAGAACGAAAAAAGGGGAAAAGAACUGUAACAUUCCAAAAAGAAUAUUUAUAUAUAUAAAUAUGCAUUGGAAAAUCGAAACAGAAAGUAUCGAAUUGCAAGCAGAAGAGAGAUUGAGUGGAAGUGAAGCAAAAGAAAAACCACUUCUCAUGUGGGACAGGCCACCUUCUCCGCCAUGUCUUCCCCGCAGCACUGAUGCUUGCCCCCCCCCCCCCUCCACCUCCGACAAUAUGGAUCUGGCGGUGCCUCACUCCGUCUUCACAAUCUUCCAUUUCACAGCUGAAAUGCAAAAAACCCACACAUGAUCUGCAAAGAGGCGCAGCAAUGGAAACAACAGAAGCCACUCAUCUAUAUAUGUAUAGACACACACACACACACACAAAACAAACAAAUAUACACACAAACGUACACACGUACAUGCAAACAAGCACACAAACACUAACACAUACAAAGUGAUGGGUAACCAGUGAGAGAAUAGGUGCCGCAAUUGUGAAUUUUGUAUUGUGUAAGUGUGAUGUUCUCAAUUCUAAACCCUACUAUUGAAUACCCUUCACUAGUUCUUCUUUAUGUACUUAUAUUCCACGAAGACGGUUUCAGAUUGACAGUUUAAUUUGCGAAAAUUGACAACAAAAUAUGGUGAUUGUAAUCUGUGGUGUGGUAAUUAGCUUGUUUAGAUUUAGAUUUUUUGAAAGUUUACGUUUAAGAUCAAAGUGGAUGGAUUACAAUUUAGAUUUUUUCUCAGGAGUAUGUUUUUUACCAUUCACGUCGUUUGUACUACAUUGGCACUAUCAAAUCCUUCAACAUUCUUAUAAACUUCGAUUAUGUUAUUUUUUUCACAAAAUUCUUGAAAAUGAAUAGAUUGAUUUGGUUUUCACUAAACCUUGUACACAAAGUAUCAAUUCUUGUCUCAACAAUUAAAUUUUCAUCACCGGUGAAAUAAAUAAAUAAAUAAGAAAAAAACCUAAUCUCAAAAAACAUCCAGAAACCAAUUACACUAACAAAAUUUGGAUUACUUUUGAAAAGUGUAACUACAUUGCA
rnacentral:lncRNA from 1 species